rnacentral:lncRNA from 1 species
UUUCGGCCAAAUCCAAAGGGUGAUUUUUUGGGUUCAUGUUUGUCUUGUUAAAAGUGUUUUAAGGUGACUUUUGUAACCCCUAAGUACCCUAGGAUGUUAACAUCAUUUUGAAUGGUGAAAAUUUGAGUUUUAUGGCUUGAAAACAUUCAUGGAGCUCUNCAUGCUAGGGAACCUCACAUCUCACCCUUCCUCAGAAGCCUUUGCAUGUCCCUUGGCGUGGGUGUCCGGAGGUACUCAUUGGUGUAGAGGGGCUUCAAUUGCAGAGCAAAACCGCAUCAGGGACUCCAAAACAGUUGUUUUUCCCAUCAUCGCGAUCUCAUCCACUUGAUCUGCAGAUGCUUCAUAUGCAAGCAUUCGCAAAGAUGCCGUAAUUUUUUGCUCGGGAAUAAGACCUAGAACAUGAAAAGCAUCCUCUUUUUGCACAAAGUAUGAAUCAUGGUUGCAAAUAUCACUCAUGAUUUUGUUGAACAAAUUUCGUUGCAUUCUAAAACGCCGUCUAAAAAUAUGAUCAGGGAAUAUGCUAUUAGGAAUAAAAUAAUCUUCCAAUAGAUUUUUACCUCGUUUUUCCCUUUUUCUAUCGAGGUUUGCAACACGUCUUGGUUUGGCUAUCUGACCCACGGCUUCCAUGACACGGCGGGAAUGUGAGGCCUUCUGCCUUUUAUGGUGAUCAUCAUCAUCCUCCUCCAUGAAGAAAGCCUCAUCUCCACCUCCACCUCCACCUUCCUCGAGAUUGGCCAAUUCUGCCUGUUGUGCCAACAACCUUUGUUGUUGCUCUUGCAACUGUUUAUACACCCUUCUUGAAGAAGACAUUGUAAUAAGAACUCAAGAUUUGAAAACGAUGAACAAGGAUUCUGAGCUAAAAAGAAGGAUUGAGCUUGGUGUGAGGAUAUAUGUAGGGAUGUAGGGUUUAUAUGGACAAAAAAAGAAAGGAUGAGGUUCUGGACAAUGUCACAUGGCACUACGUGAUUGGUUGAAAAUCUUAUCGAAAUCUUGGCUAAAUUAUUGUAAACCGGAAGUGACAUGUGGCGUGUCGGGAUUGGUAAAAAAUAUUAUCGGAAAUAUAUCCACAAAAUAGUACGUUCAGAUAAUGACACGUGGCAUGACGUGAUUGGUUGAAAAUCUUAUCGAAAUCUUGGCUAAAUUAUUGUAAAACAGAAGUGACACGUGGCGUGUCGGGAUUGGUAAAAAAUCUUAGCGGAAAUCUAUUCACAAAAUAGUACGUUCAGAUAAUGACAUGUGGCGUGACGAGAUUGGUUAAAAAUCCUAUCCGAAAUUAAAACUAUUUUAUUUUUUAUUUCUUUUAGACAAAAUUUAAAAAUAUUUUUUAAAUGGGCUGGGUGCCAGCGCAUUUUGUAGGGAUGGAGAUCGUUUGUGCCAGCGCAUUUUUUCACUAGGUGCCAGCUCAUUUUUUUAGGGGUGAAGAUGCCUUGGCCUAUUACUGUUCAUUGGAGUAUGUUACUGUUCAUUUGAGUGGAUAAAUGCGCUGGGUGCUGGCGCAAAGUCCUUAGGGGUGGAAUUGCUCUAAAUGAGUGGGAGAGUCGAUAAGAGGUCAGAGAGUGCGUCCCCAAACCCCACCACCAGAAAAAUUAAAAUCCUCUCCAUCUUUUUAACUAAUUGGUCCCUUAACCCAAUAUCUAAUUGGCUUCUUACCCACAAAGUGGGAGUUAACUUCAAACGUCCGUAACUAUACCGUUAUAAUUCGGACUCGCAAACGGCUUUCGUCUAUACAUUCGUGGUUUCGAAAUCUAUCCAAAAAUAUAAAUUGUGACCUCAAAAGGUCAAUGAGUUUUAGAUAAUUACUUUCCAAACUUCUAACUUCGUAACUAAUUUAAUUAAAAUCUAAAUCCAAAUAACUUAAUAUAAAUUCUCGAAAAAUAAUAUAAAAUCUCAAUAAUACAAAUACGUAGAUUAUAACAGUGAAAUCUGGAAACGGGAUUUCACAACAUCAUUCAAAAAUAAAUCCGACCCUCUGUACGCCUAAUACUCCAAAAUUAUUCGGCACCAUGCCGCUAUUACCGCCAACCAGGUGAUCAAAAGUACGCCCAAUACUCCAAAAUUAUUCGGCAGCCUGCUGCUAUUAUCACCAACCAGGAGAUCAAAAGUACGCCCAGUACUCCAAAAUUAUUCGGCAGCUUGCCGCUAUUAUCACCAACCAGGUGAUCAAAAGUACGUCCAGUACUCCAAAAUUAUACAUGAGCAUCACUCAUGUCAAUCAUACAUAAACAUUCAUGAGCAUCACUCAUGUCAAUCAUACAUAAACAUUCAUGAUUAUCAUUCAUGUCAAUAUUCAUAAACAUCAUUCAUGUCAACAUUCAUGAGCAUCACUCAUGUCAACAUUCAUGAGCAUCACUCAUGUCAACAUCCAUGAGCAUCACUUAUGUCAAUCAACAUAAACAUUCAUGAGCAUCACUCAUGUCAAUCAGCUUCGAAAACUUCAUUUACAGAGCUCCAAUUUCGAGAGCUCCAGCUUCAAAAGCUUCAUUUACAAAAGCUCCAGCUUUAAAGCUUUACUUGUAAAGCUUUAAAGCUUUACUUGUAAAGCUUUAAAGCUUUAAAGCUUCACCUACAAAGCUUCAGUGCAGGGUAUACAAAUACCGCUUCUGAACAACCGCCACUUCGGCUAUACAUGGAUUCAAUUUGAAGUCUCCAGCCAACAGACUCUAUUGACUGAAGACUUGGGGGACUACACUAUGUACCAUAUAUUGGGCCUCAUGAAAAAUACUUAGGGGACUUAGCCCAUUAUUUAUGUACUGAGGAGCGAACCCUUAUUCUAUAAAAAUGACUCCCUCACUUUCAUUAGAGAGUACCCAUUAUUUCAUGUACUGAGGAGCGAGCCUUUAUUUUAUAAAAGGGACUCGCCGCCUCACCAUCAUUAGAGAGCAUCACCGCCUGCCGAGCAACCGUCUCGCCGCGCGAACAUCAACUCUAGCCCAUCACUUAUGUAUUGAGGAGCGAGCCCUCAUUUUAUAAAAAAGAACUCCCUUACCAUCAUUAGAGAGUAUCGCCGCCUGCUGAGUAAACGUAUCGCCGCGAGCAUCAACUCUAGCCCAUCACUUAUGUAUUGAGGAGCGAGCCCUUAUUCUAUAAAAGGGACUCCCUCACUCUCUUCAUUAGGGGAGGCCAAUUCUUAGGCCAUGGGGAAAAGCUCUCUCACCCUCUCAUCCUCUCACAAAUAGAGAAAUACAAUAUCAGUGUGGACGUAGCCCAAACAUUGGGGUGAACCACGAUACAUCUUGUGUUAUUUACAUUUCUUGCAAAUUCACGACGGUCGGACUUACGUUGUUCCAAGAUGUUGGAAAUGUGCCCUAAAGCCAAUCAUGUGAUGAUACUUUACGGACAUUUCACAUGUUAAACUAAUAAUCUAGUUUUACAUAUAAAGGGCAAAGAUUAUUGUUUGAGCCGUCUCAUAUAAAUGUUAUAUGCUUAAACGAUAAAGUCCAAGGAAUAUGUGAUUGGGAGAAUGUAAUCUAAUGAAGUUAGAUUCAUGAGACCAUUCUUUCGUAGACACAUCCUAAAUGUUCCUGAUCAUAGGAUUGUCAAUUGGGCAUUGACAGUCCGUUAAGAUCGGUACGUACUAUGUCUUCUCUCAGGGAGAGUGAUUAGUCUCGAGUCAUUGGUGUGUGUGACAUCAAGACAAGUACGUAGGUGCUCAAUAGAGAAUGAGUACACUGAACGUGAUCAACCAAGAGUUCUCAUAUUCCAUGUCACAUAAGAACUCAUGGUUGGGAUAAUGCAAAGUAGUCCUUUGACCUGAGGCAUCACAGUUGUCUUGUGGUUAAGUCCUUGAUCUUUGAUUAUGUCAAAAGUCACCCCCUCGGGGCGUCCACGGCAUCGUUGGGGUCAAGUGACUUAGCUAUGGAGACAAGUGAAUGCGCAACAAGGGAUCUCUAACCUUCAAACAGUUGAGGGAGAAUACUCUAUGAUAUGAUUUAGAAUCUCUGGCCAGAGUAUGAAUGAGAUUAGGGAAUGCGUUCCAAAUCACAUUCAAGUAAAUCAUAUAAGCACAAGAUUCACAUUGGAUAGUAGACAUGAACAAAUAAACUAUCAAACCAAACAAUGUGGUCAAGAGUAUUAGAUUAGAGAAAGACCGUAUUGCAUUUGUAAUCCCGAACUGAAUAGGUUCUCUAACCUCUUCUGAUUAGCUUGGGUAACCAUGACAUGCUGCUAGGCGUCAACCAUGGUUUGUGGAAGCCCUAAACGUGUGUAAUCACUAAAGGGAGAAUUGAAAAUAGUUUCAAUUCACAAUCGAUGUAAAAUGGUUUUAAUCGCCCACUACCUUGCUAAAAGGAACCUAAUGGAUCGGACACCAUAAAAGGUAGAGAUUGGAGAUUAAACGGAAAUGAGUAAGAAUGAUUAAAUGGUUUAAUCAUUUAUUUAUGGCAAAGAUUAAUUAAUAUGUUAAUUAAUCAAACGAAUAAGUUCGUUAAAGACCUCGGGGAUAGUUUUGGACCUUAAGGCCCAAUGAGCUUCGAACGUCAAGCCCAUUAACUUAAGUUGUAUGACAAUUUAAUGAAUAAAGAUUCAUUAAAGCCCAAAAGCCCAAAAUUCCUUAGGUGGCCGGCCAUAUGGUGAUGAAUUAGGGUUUUGGUUAUUUAGGUCACUUAAAGAAGUGACUAUAUAAAUGACUUUAUAGCCAAAUAUUCAUUAAGGAUUAAAAGGGUUUAUUUUUGGGGAAAAUUGGUGAGAAUUGUCUCUCCAUUUUCUCUCUAAAGAGGCCAACACCUUGGAGGGUACAUCUAGCAAUCCUACUACUCCAAAGUCACUCAUUUCUUCUACAAUCUAACUUUGGUGAAGAGACUUAGAGGUUCUCAAUUUUGGGAACUUGGAGAACCUAUUCUUCCAUCCAAAUCUAUGGAUCUAAGAAGCAAGGAAUGAAGGCCCUAUCUCUUUGGGUGAUUAGCCUUUGCUUAUGCAAAGAGGAAUCUACAAAGGUAUUAAUUUCAACUCACUUUGUUUUGAGUUGAUUAAUUGGUUCACCAAUCUACUAGGCUUUGAAUUUCAUGGUAAUGUUUUGUUUUUGAGUGCAUGCAUACAAGCAUGAUUCCGCCUUUAAUUGUUAAUUGCAUGCUAUAUGAUGUUGCUCAAAUGAACAUGUUUUUCAAAAUAAUUCCUUCAAGUGGUAUCAAGAGCCUAGGUCUAGUAGUUGGUGAAUCCUUUUGGGUUUUGUAGUUCAUAAGUUUAUGAUUUAAAAGUUGUAAUUGUUACAAGCUUUAUUCUUGCUUCUUUGAAUGUAAAUUUUGUUUGAAAAUUUGCCAUCUCAAAUGUUGUAGAUGUAGUUCAUAUGAGGAUGAAUAUUGGAGCUAAAAUUUGGUGCCAUGAUUUUGGGGAUUUUCGGCCAAAUCCAAAGGGUGAUUUUUUGGGUUCAUGUUUGUCUUGUUAAAAGUGUUUUAAGGUGACUUUUGUAACCCCUAAGUACCCUAGGAUGUUAACAUCAUUUUGAAUGGUGAAAAUUUGAGUUUUAUGGCUUGAAAACAUUCAUGGAGCUCUUAUGGGUUUUCAUGGAUGUUCUUCAUUGUUCUUGAUGUUCUUGCCAAGAACUAAAAGGUUUUGUGUUUGAUUCAAAGUUUUGAUUAUUUCAUAAAGUUUAUGUUAUAUGUUUUUCAAAUGAUUUAUCAUAUAUUUAAAAUAUUAGAUAUUUGAUUAAAUAGCAAAAGAAAUAUAUAUCAUCAUUAUGAAAGGUAAAAGAAAAGGUGAUAAGAAUUUCUUUUCUUAUGCACCACUUGAAUGUUUUUGACAAAACUAAUAAAUCAAAACACACACCACACCUUUUAUCCCUAAAUGGCCGGCCACCCUAUUAAAAUAGGGUAUUUUUGGGGCUUUUAUGCAAUUACAUAAAGUUUUGAUACUUUUGUGUAUUUGUACUUUGACCCGAAAGUUUACGUUUUGACGUUAAGGCCUAAAAACGCUAAAGGACAAAUUGUUUUGCUCCUUUAAUGAAGUUUUGAGUUUAUUUAAAUUUUGGGUUCUAGUUGUAUUUACAUGAAGUAGUGACUUUUGUGUUUUUACAAAGUGACCCCAAA